UUCUCUCUCUCUCUCUCUCUCUCUCUCUUUCUUUCUCUCUCUCAUACAUGCUUGCAAACAUAUUCACACACACACACACAUUUAUCAGUGUCUCUGUUGUCCGGUUGGUCUGCUCUAAAAUCCUAAAAUAAUCUGCUGUGUUCAUUCAGCGCUGCCUCUGCUGCUAAGGAGCAUGGGAAAUCAUAUUUAAAUUACUUUAUUCAGUGUACCCUUUCAAAAUAAAAGUAACUGAAGUUCUUAUGAUUGUGCUUUCAGUGACGAAAAAAACAACUUUUUAGCGCUUUAUUUUCUAUAGUUUCAUAUUAAAAUAAAACAUAACAGUUAUUUGAAACAAAGCAGUGACUAAUAUUACAGAAACACUGAUGGUCACUUCACCUCCAUUCUCCAGCUGUUGUGUGUUUGCAGACUAAAAACGAUCAGAUUAAAAUAAUUUUGAAGACGCACAAAAAGGCGGCUCAGGAUUCAGCAGAGAUUUAUUUUUGUUUUUGUUUCUGGGAGGGGUUAAAUAUGCAACCAGACACACAAACACACACACUGUACAAACCUCCAUUGAUCUUCAUAUUUAUCUGAAAAUAUAAACAUCAGUUUGUGGUGUAACAGCAACACCUGCUGGACAAAAGUCAAAGUGCAGGGAAACUUAAAUCAGAGCUGUAGAGGUCUUCAUAGGCCCUGAUGACUCUGACCUGGCAUGGGUUCUGAUUAUAUUCAGUCUGAUCAGGUCUGGUUGCUGCAUCUUUAUUGAUUAAUUACAUAUUUGCAUAUUAACCACAGCUCAGUCAUACAGAGCAGUGUUCUCCUUCACCUGAUGUCUGGACUUUAAUAAAACAUACAGCUGUAACAUCCUGUUUUUACAGGUCUAGCAAAUCAGGUAUCAGCCAUGAUAGGUCUGAUCAACAUUAAAUCCAAUUUCUUGGUCAACAUCAUCAUCAAAUUCACUUACAUUUAGUGCCAAAACAAAUUUCUGGCUUCGGGUUAAAGUUUUAAAGAGGUCAGAACACUGUCUAAAUUAAUCCCCUCAAUUAAAACAUGGAGAUCAUGUUCAGGUAGAUUAUGGAUCAUGUCUUUUGAAUGUUGGACUCGUGAAGAUUUCAACCAGUCAGCUCACUGAAAUCUUACAUUAGCAAACCUAAACUGCAGUUGGGGCUGCAUAAAAAAAUUUAUAAAGAUAAAAAUGAAACUGAUGGCUGCUGUUAAACCUGAUUUCUCUUUUGUAAAUUGAUCAGAAAAUUAUUGAAAAUAAAAUCAAGUUAAGAAACAAAGAAGAAUAAAUCAGUUUGCUACAGUUGGGCUGCAACAAACUUAAUUAAACCUUUGAUUAAUAAUUGUUUAGUCCAUAAAAUGUCAGAAAAUAGUUAAAAAUAGCCCAAAGUGAUGUCUUUGAAUUGUUUUUGAGCUGCAAUGAAACUUCACAUCUGAGAAGAAAAAGAAAGUUUGACAUUUUCAAUUAAAAAAUAACUUGAGCAGAUGAUUAAAUUUCUGGUCUUAAACAAAACCAUUAAUGGGUCCAUCAUUUUAGCUACUAUUAAUCCCAAUAUUUGGUCUGUAAAUUAAACUACAUGAUGUUAAAAUAAAGAUGAAAAAGAAAAUGUGAACAGUAAAAUCUCAAACAUCUCAGUUAACUGAGAACAACAUAUUUAAAUAUAGUUCAGUCUGUGUCUGUUUUGCUGUUUGACAGUUGAAAUAUUGAAUAAAAUAAAGGCUGCAACAUUUAUUUCAACAUUUAUUUUCACUUUAAUUUAUCAUUUUCUAUCAUGACAGAAAAAAGUGAAAAAAGUGACUUUGAAUUGAACUGUUGUUUCUAAAAACCUAAAGAUAUUCAAUUUAUAAUUACAUAAAACAGAGAGAGCCAGAGAUUUUUUUGCUUGAAAAUGACUUAAACAAUUGAACUAAAUCAAUUGAUUCCUCUCCUGAUUGAUUAAUUAAAUAAUUGUUACAGCUCAAAGCAAAAUAUUGUCUCUAUUGAUACUGUGCAGCUCAGAGUUCUGCUCCUUCUUCUUGAACGUGUUAAGGUCAUGGUAUAUAAAACAAAAACACACACUGCAUUACUGCAACACAACAACACACCCGGACAGAGACAUAAAACCGUGCAUGUUUGAUUUCUGUAAAAGGCUUUGUUUGUUUGUUUGACUUUUAAAAGACUUGGUGAAUAAAUAAAAAACUGAGCAGCGAUUAUUUAAUAAGUUAUACUCCUGUGGCGGUGAUGGAAACUUGUACAUGAGCAAAGCUUCUCUCUCUGUACUCUACUGUGUUUUACUGUUGUUUUUUCACCGGGCCUGUAGCUCCAUUAAUCUCUGCUUACUGGAAAAAAAUCUGACAUUGUACAAAAAAAAAAAAAAAAAAAAAGAGAAAAACAAACAAAAACAAACAAAGGAAAACAAAAAAGCAUACUGGACGUAUCUGCCUUUGGGGAAAAAUCUACGCACAUAGAAGAAGAAAAUUAAACAAUGUACUGUCCUGUUCAUUUAUGGAAUAAUGGAAAAAAACAAACAAAAAACUGUGGUUGAAAAGGAAAAAAAAUCAGCACACUUUUUGGAAAUGUAAUUUUUUAAACUGCUAGUGUCAAAAGUGUUUUGUAAAGAUAAUAGAACAAUUAUAACAAUUUACACAACGCAUGGAGGUGUUGCACACAUUGUCGUUAUUUCAUUUUUACAUGUUUACUGUUCUUCUCUUUAAGGUUUUUACAGUGAAAAGUUAAAGGAUAUUUCUGGUCUUUUUGAACCUGGGCCUUGUGGUUUUCUUUCAGUUCAGUUUGUGUAAAGAGUUGAAAUGCAUGUUAAACUGAGAUGAAACUGAAAAGACUCCUUUGAGAAGGGAAGAGAUUCAGGACAAGAUGUGGAGACUGAGGGAAAGAGAGAAGGUGAUGACGAUGAGAGAGGAAGAGCAGGUACUGGAUCAACAUUAUGUCCCUGAGCUGUUCAACACACACACAACCUGACCUGCUCACAUUCAAACUGAGACAUUAAGAAAAUGACAGUGAACAGAGGGCAGAGAGAUCAAGGAGUAGAGGAUGGAGAGAGAGAGGGACGGGAGACACAGUGUAAGAAUGUUUGGCAGAUUACUUGUGCUAAUGGCCACUGACAUGGUUUUAAAGCUGAUGUUUUCACCAGACUCCAUUAACAAAAACAACAAUUUACCUCGCAGAGCAAGGGAGUUGCUGGUUUACCUCUGCCUCAAUCUGUAAAUUUGAUUGUGUUGUGUGAUACUUUUAUUAACGUAAAUACUUCCUCCAUCACUGAAAGUCACAGAACACAACACAAAUAAAUUAACAGAUGGCGGCAGUGGGAUUUCAGCAGCUCCUGUGUUCUGCUCUAUAAAAUUCCUGUUUUUGUCAAUGGAGAUUGGUAGUGAUAUAUAGUGAUGUUUCUGGAUAAAGUAAAAGGAUCUUACUCUUCAGUAAAAAGGUCUGUCUCUGUAGAAAUCCUAUCUAUAAUGUCAGACACGUAUAAUAACAGUCUGAGCCUGUCAGUGAUAAAAACAAGCACUUUAGUGGACGUACUCAACAUGAACAACUGACUGUUGUUUUACAUCCUUAAAAAGCACAUGAGCACACAGAAACCCUAGGAAUGACUUCCCCACUCGGGACAAGGAGCACUCAAAUAAGACCUAAAUGGUGUUUGACUGUGGAUGAAGAAAAUCAUCUGAAAACUUGUUCAUACAGUUUUUUUUGUCAGUUUUUAUUUAUUUCAUUCUCAGGAACCUUUUCAGGUCACAGCUGGAGAAUCAAACAUAACAGAAAGAAAAGAUGAAAUAAAAAAAGGUUUUUCCCUUUUCCAGUUAAACCCAAACAAAAUUACAUUCUGUAAGUAAACAUUCAGUUUUUUUUUACACGAUUUAUUGUAGAACAAUAUUUUAAUUUCAUCUCUAAAGCUUCAUAAAAGGGUCUUUUCUCUUUUGAACAGGUUUUACUUUAUGUUGAUGGCAGUAACAGAAAGAAAAGACCCAUAGUCACAUUCACUAACAAAAGGUACAGAAUAUAAAAAUAAUAAUCUAAAAAAAAAAAAAAUGAAGUAACUGAGGUGAGAAUGGUAUCCUCUAUAAACAUAUCACUGGUGGAUUUGACUCCAUUCAAGGUUUGGAAGGAAAAAGUAAACUAUCGCUGCUGCUGUGCUUUACUUCAGUGCUUCUGCAGGCCAAACUAUCUCUCUCGCACUUGUGGUAUCAAAGUGUUUAUCAGCCAUUUGCUUUUAUUUUUUAUUUGCAUUAGCUGAACAAAAUAAGAAUGAGUGGUUUUGUAAAAGUGCUUUUUUUUUGCACCGUUAAACAUGAAAUUACCUUCGGGCAACUGUAUGAAGCUCUUGUUAGGUUUGUGUUGAAUGAGAAAAAAGGAGAGAGAUGAUGUUAGUAAAGUGUUUUUUCCUGUUUUUUUUCCCAUGA